rnacentral:rRNA from 1 species
GAUGAACGCUGGCGGCGUGCCUAAUACAUGCCAGUCGAGCGAACGGACGAGAAGCUUGCUUCUCUGAUGUUAGCGGCGGACGGGUGAGUAACACGUUGAUAACCUACCUAUAAGACUGGGAUAACUUCGGGAAACCGGAGCUAAUACCGGAUAAUAUUUUGAACCGCAUGGUUCAAAAGUGAAAGACGGUCUUGCUGUCACUUAUAGAUGGAUCCGCGCUGCAUUAGCUAGUUGGUAAGGUAACGGCUUACCAAGGCAACGAUGCAUAGCCGACCUGAGAGGGUGAUCGGCCACACUGGAAAUGAGACAAGGUCCAGACUCCUACGGGAGGCAGCAGUAGGGAAUCUUCCGCAAUGGGCGAAAGCCUGACGGAGCAACGCCGCGUGAGUGAUGAAGGUCUUCGGAUCGUAAAACUCUGUUAUUAGGGAAGAACAUAUGUGUAAGUAACUGUGCACAUCUUUACGGUACCUAAUCAGAAAGCCACGGCUAACUACGUG